AUUGAACGCUGGCGGUAUGCCUUACACAUGCAAGUCGAACGGUAGAGGGGCAACCCUUGAGAGUGGCGAACGGGUGAGUAAUACAUCGGAACGUGCCCAGUCGUGGGGGAUAACGUAGCGAAAGCUACGCUAAUACCGCAUACGACCUGAGGGUGAAAGCGGGGGAUCGCAAGACCUCGCGCGAUUGGAGCGGCCGAUGGCAGAUUAGGUAGUUGGUGGGGUAAAGGCCUACCAAGCCUGCGAUCUGUAGCUGGUCUGAGAGGACGACCAGCCACACUGGGACUGAGACACGGCCCAGACUCCUACGGGAGGCAGCAGUGGGGAAUUUUGGACAAUGGGCGCAAGCCUGAUCCAGCCAUACCGCGCGCGGGAAGAAGGCCUUCGGGUUGU
rnacentral:rRNA from 1 species